CCCCAGCAUGGGCAGGCACCUCUACUCGGUGCUGGGAAUUAGUAUUCUCACAAAGAAAUCUUUGCGAGAUGAAGCUAAGAUCUGU
rnacentral:ribozyme from 1 species